rnacentral:rRNA from 1 species
UACAGAGGUCCCAAGCGUUGUUCGGAUUCACUGGGCGUAAAGGGUGCGUAGGCGGUCGGGUAAGUCUGAUGUGAAAUCUCACAGCUUAACUGUGAAACUGCAUUGGAUACUAUUCGGCUUGAGAGUUGGAGGGGGGACUGGAAUUCUUGGUGUAGCAGUGAAAUGCGUAGAUAUCAAGAGGAACACCAGUGGCGAAGGCGGCUCACUGGCUCGUAACUGACGCUCAUGCACGACAGCGUGGGGAUCAAACAGG